rnacentral:rRNA from 1 species
CCUUGUACACACCGCCCGUCACACCAUGAAAGUUGUGCCUACCAGAAGUCGUUGCGUUAACCGUAAGGAGACAGACGCCCAAGGUAGGAACGAUGAUUGGGGUG